CCUUGUCUUUGUUCUAAUAAAUCACCUCGGUUCGCUGCACCUCCUCUGCCUUGCGGUCUGGGUCCUCCAACCUGCUCCACUCAGCCACCCAUCGUAACAGUACAGCUGAAAUAAUUUGUUGAAUGACAUUGAAUAGAGGUGUUAAAGCAAUGGAUAUCAUGAGAAAAAUAAUGUGUUUUUGAACAUUAAAGCAUGUGUGGUGUCUGAACAAUAAUGCUGCGCUGAUGUGUUGAGUCAAAUGCACAUAUAUUAUACACCACACAAACAUUUUCUAGUAGAAACUCAAAAUUAAAGUAUGAACCUGAAAAUGAGCUUAAUAUGGGACCUCUAAGUUUGACUACUUUCCCCUAGUGGCUGUGAUGUGAAUUACACAUCACAAGAGCAAACUUUUGUUGCUCAGGUAGGCUGACACAAAUGCUCUUAACAGUAUCACAAAUCCUGUCCUCACAGAAGCAAACACAUCAGCUAAACUACAGCCGGACCCUGACCUCUGACCUCUCAGCAGUUUUCAGUCCCAGCAGUAGAUAUUGUACUUGUAUCACAGAAGCAGUAUUUCUAGUAGUAGCUCUAUUAGAAGUGACAAUAAUUACAAACUUUGUGUUUAACAGCUUUUAAAACAAAGUUAAAAGUUGUUACAGGUGCAAACGAGUAAAAAGGCCUUUAAAGAAAAAUGUUUGGAAGCCAAAGUCUGUUUGAAGAAGAGCUUUAAUAGCAGACACCAUCUGCGGCAGCCUGAGGUUCUGGAGCUUCUGGUCCCCCUUUGUUAGGAACCAGGACUGAGGAACAGAGUGAAGGGCCCCGCCCGGGGAUCUCAGGCUGCAUUCUGCCUCAUUACAAACCAACAUGUCCAAAAUAUGGCAGUGUACCAAUGUGAUCCACACUGCUGCUUCAUGACGUCUUGUCACGCCCCCCCUGCUGCGACCUAACCCUGACUUGUGGAAGACUGCCUUGUGUUCGUUUGUUUGUGUUUUUUUUCCCUGGGUGUGGCUGCGGUUUUUGGUUUCCGGCCCUUUUCCCCUUUCUCUCUCACCUGCAGGUUGCCGGGAGGCGUGUCAGCUGCGAGGAGCUGAUUACACACCUGCACGUGAUUUGCACUCCCUCGGGUUCCUGCCCUACUUAAGCAGCGGCCUGACGUCCUGUCCUCGCCGGAUUGUUAAGUCGUCUCUGAUCUCUACCGGACCCGUCCGUGACCAACUCACCUUCCCCGCGUCCUGGUUCUCACUCUCCCGCCUGUUACCUGUUUGCCUCUCUGCCUGGACCCCAUCAGCUUCCUUCGCCUGCCUGCUCUGCCUGCCCCGAUCCCCGCAGCCACCGCCAGCUCCUUGACUCAAUAAAUCUCUGAGAACCAG